ensembl:lncRNA
GCCCCAUGUAAGGUCUGUAGGGCAGCCUGUAUCUGGCCCACCUCUUGGCCGGGGACCUAGGUGGGAUCUCAGCCAUGGCCCCAUGUAAGGUCUGUAGGGCAGCCUGUAUCUGGCCCACCUCUGGGCCGGGGACCUAGGUGGGAUCUCAGCCAUGGCCCCAUGUAAGGUCUGUAGGGCAGCCUGUAUCUGGCCCACCUCUUGGCCGGGGACCUAGGUGGGAACUCAGCCAUGGCCCCAUGUAAGGUCUGUAGGGCAGCCUGUAUCUGGCCCAUCUCUUGGCCGGGGACCUAGGUGGGAUCUCAGCCGUACCUUUGUGCAGUAUGUGAACCUGGGCUGAACCUUUUUAUUUGACAAUUAUUUUUCACUGUAUGAUACAAAGUAUUCAGACCUCUUGACUUUUUCCACAUUUUGUAACGUUACAGCCUUAUUCUAAAAAUGGAUUAAAUAAAACAUUUCCCUCAUUAAUCUACACACAAUACCCCAUAAUGACAUCACAAUAGCCCAUAAUCACAAAGUUAAAAACCUUAUUUACAUAAGUAUUCAGACCCUUUGCUAUGAGACUCGAAAUUGAACUCAGGUGCAUCCUGUUUCCAUUAAUCAUCCUUGAGAUGUUUCUAUAACUUGACUGGAGUCCACCUGUGGUAAAUUCAAUUGAUUGGACAUGAUUUGGAAAGAAACACACCUGGCUAUAUAAGGUCCCACAGUCGACAGUGCAUGUCAGAGCAAAAACCAAGCCAUGAGGUCAAAGAAAUUGUCCGUAGAGCUCAGAGAGGAUUGUGAUGAGGUACAGAUCUGGGGGAAGGGUACCAAAAAAUGUCUGCAGUAUUGAAGGUCCCCAAGAACACAGUGGCCUCCAUCAUUAAAUCAAAGAAGUUUGGAACCACAAAGACUCUUCCUAGAUCUGUCCGCCCGGCCAAACUGAGCAGCAUCAUGCUGUGGGGAUGUUUUUCAGCGGCAGGGACUGGGAGGGAAAAGAUCAAGGGAAAGAUGAACGAUGCGAUGCAAAGUACAGAGAGAUCCUUGAUGAAAACCUGCCAAAGGUGCUUCAACAAAGUACUGAGUAAAGGGUCUGAAUACUUAUGUAAAUGUGAUAUUUUUUUACAUUUUUUUUAUACAUUUCAAAAAAAUCUGUUUUUGCUUUGUCAUUAUGGGGUAUUGUGUGUAGAUUAAUGAGAGAAAAACAAUUAAACCAUUUUCCUCCCUCUAGCUGGUGUUAUAGGUGAUAUAAUGUGUUAGUGCCCAGACGGCAUCCCCAGCCACGUCCUCAGAGCCUGCGCAGACCAGCUGGCUGUUUACGGACAUAUUCAAUCUCUCCAGCACUAACACAUUAUAUCACCUAUAACACCAGCUAGAACAUUAAAUAUUCAGUCAAAAAUGAUACAACUUUACAUUAUUUCAUGAUGAAUAAAAUAAAUCAUUAAUCUAAACAAUUUGAGGAAUUGUCUUUCAGAAAGAGUGUAGCAGAGGACUUAAUUGGUUGACAGAGAAUCAAGAGCAAAGGAUUGUGGGAUAGAUAGUAGAGUGGAAGGAGGGCAGAAAUGUUUUGGGCAGGAGGAGCUACUUAGGUCCAAAAGGCACUGUGUGCUUUUGGUCCAGCUGGUUCGAAUUCCAGAGCAAGGAACUUCAGCCUCAAUUUCUCUGGAUGAAAGUGUCUGCUAAAUGACUAUAAUCAUAGAUCUCAAUCAGUUGAAUCAGGACUGUUAUAUAGCUGGACCAAAAGCCUACAGUAGUCAGGGCAUCUUAGCAUAGCGUCUCUCUGCCAGGUGGGGCCUCGUUAGGGCUGUUACGGUUACCAUUACCGGCAGUCAAAUUCCACGUCACGGUAAUUAGGCAUCUCCAAGCUCUGCUGCUGGUGAUUGUUAACCAACUAAACUUGCUAACUACCUGGUACUCAGCAUUUUAUUGUGCCUCUAAUCACUCUGACAUCAAUGUAAAAUCAAAUCAAACACUUCAUGAGAGCCCAUGAGCUCAAGUGGAGCAACGUUUCUAUAGGGUAUGUCAUUAUGUAAGAAUACAGAGUGAUGACCUCUAUUAAAAAUAGGAGGAACCCAUCAGCUUUCUAUAGGCUAAGCCUACUAUAUUUAUUUAAGAACGUUCCUGAUAUUAAGCACAUUGCUUCUCUUUACAACAGGAGUAUAGCCUACCUGGCUGGCAUGAGAAUGAACCAGGGGAAACGCAUCCUCCAUUCUCUAUUCAAAUGCAUCUAUUUUUUU